GAUCUAAAAGGGAAGAAAUUUUUUAUACCUUUUGAUUUUGAUUUGAUUUGGUUUCUUUCUGGCUGGUUCUGUGAUGUUGUGCGUGUGUGUCGUUGUGCGAUGCCGUGUUGUUGGUGUUGCGGUUCUGUGCGAUGUCGUGUGCUUCUGGCUUCUGUUGUGUGUGUGCGUUGUGUUGCGAUGCCGUCCUCUGUUUUUUCGUCCUUUCUUUGUGUUGUGCAGGUCUCUAUUUAUAGAGUGAGGUUGAGGCUAGGGUUUGUUUAAAAUCCGCAGAAAUUAGGUGAUUGGGAUGGAAUCGGAUGGAGACGCGUUUGUGUUCCUGGCUUUUUGGCGGAUGAGGCUUGAACUGGAUUUGGAUUGAGAUUGAGCAUACAGACUGUUUUUUUUGGAUUGGAAAAAAAACGUGUUUGUGCAUCUGGAC
rnacentral:lncRNA from 1 species